GAAAGCCCUAUGAUGGGAAACUACCACGUUAGGUUUGGAGAGAGAUGGGACCGGUUAUAUAAUAGAGGGAGCAAAUGCAAGCUUUUUUCUUUUAAUAGCCGGCCAAAUGACUACAGGAUCAUCGGUCUACUCUAC
rnacentral:ncRNA from 1 species